CGGGGGAGCAAGCGUUGUUCGGAUUUGCUGGGCGUAAAGGGCGCGUAGGCGGCGCAACAAGUCACUUGUGAAAUCUCCGGGCUUAACCCGGAGCGGCCAAGUGAUACUGUCGUGCUAGAGUGCGGAAGGGGCUACUGGAAUUCUCGGUGUAGCGGUGAAAUGCGUAGAUAUCGAGAGGAACACCUGCGGCGAAGGCGGGUAGCUGGGCCGACACUGACGCUGAGGCGCGAAAGCCAGGGGAGCGAACGGGAUUAGAUACCCCGGUAGUCCUGGCCUUAAACGAUGGAUACUUGGUGUCCGGGGUUACAUAGUCCCCGGGUGCCGGCGCUAACGCAUUAAGUAUCCCGCCUGGGGAGUACGGUCGCAAGACUG
rnacentral:rRNA from 1 species